AUUGAACGCUGGCGGAAUGCCUUACACAUGCAAGUCGAACGGCAGCACGGACUUCGGUCUGGUGGCGAGUGGCGAACGGGUGAGUAAUGUAUCGGAACGUGCCCAGUCGUGGGGGAUAACGUAGUGAAAAUUACGCUAAUACCGCAUACGAUCUAUGGAUGAAAGCGGGGGAUCGCAAGACCUCGCGCGAUUGGAGCGGCCGAUAUCAGAUAAGGUAGUUGGUGGGGUAAAGGCCCACCAAGCCAACGAUCUGUAGCUGGUCUGAGAGGACGACCAGCCACGCUGGAGCUGAGACACGGUCCAGACUCCUACGGGAGGCAGCGGUGGGGAAUUUUGGACAAUGGGCGAAAGCCUGAUCCAGCCAUUCCGCGUGCAGGAUGAAGGCCCUCGGGUUGUAAACUGCUUUUGUACAGGACGAAAAGGUUUCUACUAAUACUAGGAGCUCAUGACGGUACUGUAAGAAUAAGCACCGGCUAACUACGUGCCAGCCGCCGCCGUAA
rnacentral:rRNA from 1 species